rnacentral:rRNA from 1 species
CACGUAGGCUGUAGUGUAAGUCAGGGGUGAAAUCCCACGGCUCAACCGUGGAACUGCCUUUGAUACUGCACAACUUGAAUCCGGGAGAGGGUGGCGGAAUUCCAGGUGUAGGAGUGAAAUCCGUAGAUAUCUGGAGGAACAUCAGUGGCGAAGGCAGCCACCUGGACCGGUAUUGACGCUGAGGUGCGAAAGCGUGGGGAGCAAACA